rnacentral:tRNA from 1 species
CUCCUAGUGGUCCAGUGGCUAAGAUUCUGUUCUCCCACAGCAGGGGGCCCGGGUUCGAUCCCUGGCUGGGGAA